GGGAAUUCGACUGUCUAAUUAAAACAGAACAGAUAGGUGGCCCUUGCCGGUGUUGACUGUCUCUGAUUUCUGCCCAGUACUCUGAAUGUAAAAGUGAAGAAAUUCAACCAACCGCGGGUAAACGGCGGGAGUAACUAAUGACUCUCUUAAGGUAGCCAAAUGAAAAAAAAAAGCCAGCAAUCGAUACAAGAUUUUC
rnacentral:ncRNA from 1 species